AGAGUUUGAUCAUGGCUCAGAACGAACGCUGGUGGCGUGUCUUAUACAUGCAAGUCGAGCGAGGCAGCGAUGCCGAGCGGCGAACGGGUGAGUAACGCGUAAGCAAUCUGCCCCAUAUCAGGAAAUACCCGUGCCAACGCGCGGUUAAUGUCCAGGAGAGUGGCCCUCCGCAUGGAGGGUUGACUAGAGAUUUAUCGGUAUGGGAUGAGCUUGCGUCCGAUUAGCUAGUUGGCGGGUAACGGCCCACCAAGGCGACGAUCGGUAGCCGGCCUGAGAGGGUGAUCGGCCACAUUGGGACUGAGAUACGGCCCAGACUCCUACGGGAGGCAGCAGUAGGGAAUAUUGCACAAUGGGGGAAACCCUGAUGCAGCAACGCCACGUGUGGGAAGAAGCAUUUCGGUGUGUAAACCACUGUCAUGAGGGAAUAAGGCCCGCCUUCGGACGGGAUUGAAUGUACCUUGAGAGGAAGCACCGGCAAACUUCGUGCCAGCAGCGGC
rnacentral:rRNA from 1 species